rnacentral:misc_RNA from 1 species
UCACCCCUCAAGCCCGGCUUGGUGUUGGACGGUCGGUCGUGGUAUUCUCUACGACCCCUCCUAAAAGUAAUGACGGCGGCCUGUUAAACCCCCGGUACAUUGGGCUUCUUAAUUGAGCACGUAUCGGUUCAAAGGGCGACAGGACCUCCGGUCUUCUUCCUUAACUGGAAAAUUCUCACUAA